rnacentral:rRNA from 1 species
UACGUAGGUGGCGAGCGUUAUCCGGAAUGAUUGGGCGUAAAGGGUGCGUAGGUGGCAGAUCAAGUCUGGAGUAAAAGGUAUGGGCUCAACCCGUAUUGGCUCUGGAAACUGAUCAGCUAGAGAACAGAAGAGGACGGCGGAACUCCAUGUGUAGCGGUAAAAUGCGUAGAUAUAUGGAAGAACACCGGUGGCGAAGGCGGCCGUCUGGUCUGGAUUCUGACACUGAAGCACGAAAGCGUGGGGAGCAAAUAGG